CUGAACUGGGUUCCACACAGUCACAAAAACCAAGUCACAAGCCACAGUCACAUGUCAGUCCCAUAAAACGAACAAGUUGCAGACAAAAAAAUUGAAAAAGCCAAACAAACAACACACACACAAAAAAAGGAAAACCAAAAGCUCCAAAUAUCACCUCUGGGUUGCGUGGGCGCUGGGGACUCAACAGCUGACAGACUCAAUAGGAAGCCUCUGAUUAGCAGCAGGGGCUCAAUUUACAAACCGGAUACACUCAACAGGAAGUGGAACAUGUUCUUAUUCCAAGCCAAAGAUCACAAAUCAGAACACCUACUUCCAGGUUUGCAGUGUUCUAUUUCCAAGUUGUUCAUAAACUAAGCUGCUAUAAAAGCAAGGUACCACUGUAUUGUCAAAGAAAAUCAGGGUCACAAGUUAAUGCCCCAAAUUCCAAACUUGUCCCAAAGUUUUGUGGUACUUUUGUGCCACAGACUCCAUGUUUUGUGCUGCCCCACAAAUUGAGAAAUUGAUACUCAAACCGGGGUCACAACUAAAGGGACCCAAACCCAACCUCGUCCUAUUGACCAAUGCCAAAGAAGUGUGCUGGUUUUGUGCCAUUUUGUGCUGCAAACCCCACUUUCUCUACAGUCCCCCAAACUGAGCUUUUGAAACUCAAACUGGGGGCCAUAGGGAUACCCUCAAACCCAACCUUGUCCGAUUGCCAAUGUGGAGUGCUGUUUGGUGAUUUUGUGUGGCAUAUCCUGCUUUCUGCACUGCCCCCUAACUGUCUUGUCUUGACACAAAGCAUAUCUAGACACACAAAGCAUGUCAUGACGGACAACGCAGGUCACGACAUAAGGCACACCAUGUAUGUCAUGUCAUGACAUGCCUUGUAUAUCAUGACAUGAUGGACAUGUAAUGACAUGCCUUGUAUGUCAUGACAUGACCUUCAUUGUUGUGCAUUGCCAUUUUGUUGACACUGUUCAAGUGAGCUGCGUGAUCACCUCUCUUAAUUGCUGCAACGGUGUCAGUAAUUCACCAGGAAACUUCUCAACGGGCAGGCUGCGGGAUACACAACAUUUCCUUAAUGCUCGUAUGAGGUAAAUAUUUAACCCAAUGUUUGCUUUCUGUCUGUGGUGAGCUCAGUGGGUGUUGCGAUCUUCCCUUCGGAAUCCCAGGGAAAAUCACAGACUGCACUGCAGAAUUCCUACUGGGAGAGAAGGACGGCAGAGAGAAAGACGCCCAGAUCCCUGGCACGUGAAUAGUUGUGCUUAGAUGCACCUCUAGAAUUGAGUGCAGAAUUGCUCAGCAUGGCCGCUGAGGCAUGGCAAUUGAAAAAUGAAACCUGCACAAGUUCAGUGGACAUGGAACUCUUUCUGCAUUAUUCACUUCUUCCAUCGAUCGCCAUCAUUGUGGUUCUGUCCUGUCUUGAAAGAAGAGCUAGGAGAAGCUGGCUAGAUGAAAAAUGGCCUCUUCUCAACAGGAGAUGCGGCAUGGUCAUACCCUUGGAGUUUACCGGGGCAUUCAACAAUCGGUGGUCUCUGGGCUUUGCCUUUGGAGCUACAGCCAACAAAGUCAUGAUUCUGUUUUCGGAAGGCUACCUCCCACUGCCCAGCAAGUUCAGAUGGGCACAAGCCUUUGUCCUUCUCACUGGUGCCAUGGAAGUGGGCCUUUCCUCCUAUCCUUUCUUCGCUUGCCUGUCCACACAUUUCUCGAUCGUGGGGGCCAUGCUUGGGUUCCUUUACACAGGAAGUUGGUUUGCCAUCAUAGCCAUGAACAUUGUGCAGUGCCCACAUGGACAAAUCAUCGGGGAAUAUGAAAAUAUUAUUUUUUACUGGCCCUCCUUGCUCUGCCAGCUUUUCCUGCUAGGCAGAUUUGUCUAUAUGUUUGUGAAAGCGUCCUGGGGCCGACUCCAGCUGGCUCCUCUAAGUGAAGCGAAGGCCUCCUUCUUGGAAGCACACCAGGGCCAAUAUGUCCAGCAGCUCAUGAGGAAGCCUCCACUGAUGCAGCCUCAGAAAUCCUGGAUCCGGCAGAAGGUGUAUGAAUGGGACCCUUAUUUUCAGUUCCCCAGCAGGAUGAUCACCAUGGCUGUGCUUGCCCUCAUCUGCCUCUACAUGUUUGUUGUGAAUGAGUUUUAUGUCUACAAGCUGGUUUCACAAGCGCUGGAAGCUCUGAAGUCCACCUUUGAUGUGGUUAUUGUUUCCAGCAAUACAACAGAAGUAGUUGCCCGGGUCAAGCAUUUGAAAGAAUUUAUUGACGUCACAGAAGGUGUUUGGCUUGUCACCACCUUCACGGCCUGCCUCACCAGUGUCAGCUACCUGUUCCACAUCUUGGCCUGCUACAGGAAGCACAUGAAACGGCUGUGGGCUGGGCAGAAGCAAUUCCUUCCGUUGGUGUUUGUCAGGUUGUCAUCUUCUCAAAAUGUGGCCGCAAUAGCAAGAUACUCUGGUUGGCAAAUUGCAUACAUACUAUGGGGGUACCUGAUCAUCCACAUGGUUCAGUGCCUCUUUGGAGUGAUGUUCAUGUAUGGCUUCGUUUUGCCCAUCAAGCAUGGCCAGGGGAUCGAAAUGCUCAAAAGUCUGGGAACUGGGAUCCUCACACUUGCCGUUGUCAUAGGGCUCAUGCAACUGCAGAUUGCAACAGCUACUGCCUUCUUUCUUCAGCCGAAGAUUUUGCUGACCGACAAGCAAAAGCCUUUGGCUCUUGAUAACAGGAAAGCUUUCCACAAUUUCAACUACUUCUUGUUCUUCUACAACGUGGUGCUGGGCCUGGGGGCCUGCCUGUUCCGUCUGCUGUGCAGUGUCACCGUGGGAGCCUGGCUGAUUGCUCGGAUAGACAGGACAAUCAUGCCGAAAGGCUAUGAAGCUGCUGACCUGGGAUUCAGAACAUGGAUUGGGAUGCUCUUUAUGGACCACUACCACAUGAAUCCCACCCUCGUCUGUUUUUGCCACCUUCUCGUGGUCCAAACGAGAGAGAGACAACAGCAGAGAACCCCCAACUACCAUCAUUUCACCAAUGCAACAGUAACAGAUUUCAGGGUUUCCAACAAAGCCAGGACCAGAUGGCUGCUCUCGUACACUCUUCUAAAUAACCCCAGCCUCUCGGCAUUCAGGAAGUCAAAAUGAGGGUCCUCUCCUACAAAUGCGUUGCUAAUUUCCCCCACUACAGAUGCAACGGGACUGAAAUGAACCUCACUGAGACUGCAUUGCCACAUUCCUCAUAUGCAACUUCCUAAUACUGUAUUGUAUCAGACCAUUGGCCCAUCAAGCUGAGCCUAUGUACUACGAUUGGCUGCCGGUCUACUCCAGUUCUGCCACCUGGGACCCUCUUAACAGAAGAGACUCUAGCGAUUGAAUCUGGGACCUUCUGCUUGCCAAGGAAAAACUCUGCUAUUGAGCUCUAACCGUGAACUUGAGCUUGCUAUUUGAGAUGGUCUGGAGAACUGCUACCGGUAGCCCAGAUGUCUCUGUGUCUGCAUGAUGUGGAAGAUCAUAGAAUCAUAGAAUCAUAGAGUUGGAAGAGACCACAAGGGCCAUCCAGUCCAACCCCCUGCCAAGCAGGAAACACCAUCAAAAAAAAGAUACCUGAAUAGUACCUCAUUUGCUGGCUUUCAUCAUGCUUCCGGCAUUUUUCUGCUAUUUCAUUGGUAGGUCUCCAGUGAAGCCCAUCUCUGGGUGAUUUUGGGCAGAGAUGAAUCUAACUGCUGGAAAUGUAGACAAAAGGCCUCUGAUAUGUCCAUCCUUCCCCAGUGGGAAAAUGUACCACAGCUGCAUCUUCAAAAUUCACAUGAUAGCACUGUGGUCACACUGGUGAUGUCAUAACACACACACCAAUGAGGUCAUAGUUACUGUAUCCAGACAUCAGAAAGGCCACAGCUCAGUAACCCUGAUGCCCAUAUAUGUUUGGAAAUCAUCCGGUUUUAAUUUUUACUGCUGGUAACACUUUGUAAUUCAAAAUGAGUAUACAGAAAUAUUGACAAUUUGAACAUUGCAAAAACUAGUAAAAUACUUUCGCGCAAAUCAAUACGGCUUGUUUAAAUGUGACGAAAACGAGAAAGAUGUUAUUUCAUGAGCAGUAGUUGUCCUAGUAUGGGGUAUGUUUUUGCUGGUGCUCCUCGGCAGGUACCGCAAACACUCAGCUUUAUUUUUAUUACUUUUUAUUAUUUACAAAGGCAAGUCUUUAGCCUUCCUAGAAAGGGCUUCAUAUGCCAGCUGCACCAUUUCCUUCAUUUGGUGCGGGAAUUUUAUUUUCAGUAUAAACAGGACUCUGUUUUUGAACCUGUACACACACCACUUUUAAUUUUUCCCAGGUGUGGAGGUGAGGAAAAAGAAUAACUGGGACAUUCUGGGAGCAAAUCAGAAACUGGGUUGGCUUCUGUAAUUCUGGGACUGUCCUUGGAAAACUGAUCACUUGGAGGGUAUGGGACUGAACUACAAGUUAUAUGGAGUUCUGUAUAACUUCCCAUCUCCCUUUAAGAGUGUGUGUGUGUGUGGGGGGGUAGCUAAUGAUGCUGCAAUCAGGCAUAGAGAAAGCAGGUGGGGAGGGGUGGUUAACCCUUUUCUUGCUGCCAGUUUCAACUCUCAAUAGUCGCCCCUUUAUCUGCUGCUUCUCUGUGGGGGAAAAAGGACAGGUUUUGUGUCUUUCCUGCGGGAAGGCCACAGAGGGAGAGAGUGUCCAUAUUGCAAUUUGGGAUUAAAGGUGGGUCUGGAAUCUGAGAAGGUUACUGACUGCUUUGUAGGGGGUUGGAACAGAUGACCCUUAGGGUCCCUUCCAAGUCUACAGUUCUGUGAUUCUUCGACUUUUGCCCUGUGCAUUUUGAGAUCUCUUCACCAAGGGCAGAUCGAGAAUAUCUAUCUUCACACUGAGAGCCAGUGCGGCAUAACAGUUAGAGUGCUGGACUAUGAACUUGGGAGACCAGUGGCAGUGAAUCCCAAGUCAGCCAUGAAGCUCACUGGGUGACCUUCAGCCAGUCACCAUCUCAUAGCUUAACCUACCUCACAGGGCUGUUGCGAGGAUGAAAUGGAGUGCAUAGCUGCCAAGUUUUCCCAUUUCUCACGAGGAAGCCUAUUCAGCAUAAGGGAAUUUCCCUUUAAAAAAGGGAGAACUUGGCAGCUAUGAUGGGGUGUCUUAUUAAAAAAUGGUGCUAGUCGGAAUCACGUUGAGAAUGAGAACCAUAAAGUGCAUUUUGGACCACAUAUUUAAUUUCAAGGGGCACAAGAUUCCAGACUGCAGUUCUUCUUGAGCUGCUAAGAACUCAGAGGAGCUUUGCCUGAAUUUAGGGCUGCAACCUUAGGCACCCAUACCUAGGAGUAGGUUCCAUUGAAUUCAAUGGCACUUCUGAGUCAAUAUGCAUAGGAAUAAGGUUGUUAGUUCAUUUAGGAUUGGGGCCUUAGGCUAAAGGGUGAUAUCUGUUGCAUGCUCAUAACAUUCAUACACAAUACAAAAUGAAACGAAAACGAAAACCAGAACUUAAAAACAUUACAAAAUUAUUAUUGUAGUUAUUUCUUUUCUUCCCCUCCCCUUUUCAUGUCUUAUUUUACUCUGUGUACACACACAUAUGUGUGUGGGCAUUUGUAUAAAUUUGCGUGUGUGUAUAAUUGUAAUCUUUAAAUCUUUCCGCAGUAUAAAGAAUACAUAAACUAUUAAGGUUGAAAUCCUUGUUUGAUGGGAGAUAUUUACUUGGGAGUAAGCACCAAUGGAUUUACUUCUGAGUAAACAAUCCAUAGGCUUGGGCUGUAUGACUGCACAUUUACUUGACAGUAAGUUCCACUGAACUCAGCCUUACUUCUGAGUAAACAGUGCAUAGGACUGAGCUUUCCCUUCACUGAUACACAAUGGAGGCAGAGUCAUUAGUGCCAGACAGGAAAUGACCGUCACAGAGUCAACCCACCCUCUUUCUCAAGAAGAGCCACCGAUCCUACGCAACCCCUUACCUGCUGUGGUGGGGGCAUUUCUGAUUGCUUUCUUGAGCUGUCACUCAAGCGUGGUCUGCCUUUUGAUGACAUCAUCACAGGUAUAUAAAGAAGAGCUCUGCAAGAGAAGGUUUGGAAGGUGGGUCUUGGGUAUUUUGUGGUAAGUUAACAUGUUUGUAUGUUGACUUUUGGAGUCCUUAACUAGUUCUCUGUGUGCUUUGGUGUUUCUGCAGCAGGGAAAGCCAGGUUGUUGUUUUAAUUGAAUACAUGUUUAAGGCUGGCUGCUAAAAUGGCACUAAUUCUAUAAAAGUUAGAAUGCCACACCCUGGGGCUGGAUGGCUAGGGCAGCAAUAUAUUACUAGGGUGUGGCAACCUUUAUGAGUACAAUAUUAAACACUGCAUGCAUUUACUUGGCUUAGCCUUGAGGCUGUGCCUCUCCACUUUCCAUUCAUGCGCUCUGCAGUGGUUAACAGGUGACUGUGUUUCCCCCAUGAGUUCCAAACACCCCACACUUAGACUACCGGUAAGUAACAAAGUUGUGGGAAGACCACCAGUGCCUUUUGUCUUGAAUGGCACCACACAGGCCUUGUCUAUGAAAAGCAGCAAAGGUGAGUUUAAAUUGUGGGUUCUCCGUUACAACCGUGAAAGUAAGGGAUCAUAGAAUCAUAGAGUUGGAGAGGACCACGAGGGGCAUCUAGUCCAACCCCUUGCAAUGCAGGAAUCUUUUGCCCAAUGCGGGGCUUGAACCCAGGACGCUGAGAUUCAGAGUCUCCUGCUCUCCUGACUGAGCUAUGAAGACUUCCUUCUCAGUAACAGUGCUCCAGUUGUGGGGUCCUUCGACCAGCAAAGCCCAAACCAUUAUUUUCUCCUACAGAUGAUUUGGAGAAAGAGAGUUAAGGGCAUUUCACUCUUCUGGGAAUAAAACAAAAGAGGCUGUUGUAGUUCUUUUGUAGUUCUUUUUUUAGAUUUCUUGUAUGCUUUAUAGGUACUGCUUUGUGGGAAAUUAUUUUGCAUGGCGUAUAUCUUUUACCGUAAUUGCUUCGGGAGUCCCACCCAAUACAGCUUAUGCACAAUACACUUAAAGCUGCAUUUAACUCUUGGGAGCUGUAGUUUACCCUUCAGAGAGCAACAAGUCCCAGCACCUUUAAGAAACCAUAGUUUUCAGCAGCAUAGUUUUCUGGGGGGUAGGCACAGUGGCAUUGCAACAGGGAGCGGUGGGGGUUGUGCGUCUCCGGGGGUGACAAGGCGGCACCCCACUGCGGCGGCACGAGCAGCCAUCACGCCACCGCAGCUGCAUGUGGAGGAUCCUUCAUUCACGCCUGCAGCUGCGAGCAGAGGAUCCCGGCACUGCGCUGCCGGCAAACCACUACAUAGCGCACUUGUGCGGCAUCGCUACGUACGCUGCAUGCGUCAAACGUAGCAACGCCGCACAUGCAUGCUAUGUAGCGACGCCCCGCCCCCAGGUGCACGUCAUGUUUGCCGCUCCGUGUGCCCGAGCAGCUUCCUAUGCCACUGGGUAGGCAUACCCUAAACAUUUUGUGAAUCUUUGUACUUUUGUUCAUUCACUGUAUUUAUUUCCCCCGAUUUGAGCUAUAAAAUGGUGAUUUUCUUGAAUCAAAAUGAAGGUACCCAAACACUUUUUUAAAAGAAAAAAAAGCACUGGUUUUCAGGAAAGAUUUGGAGGAAAUGAUGUGCUUUGAAUAUAUGGUAUGGACCAGGCAUCCCCAAACUGCGGCCCUCCAGAUGUUUUGGCCUACAACUCCCAUGAUCCCUAGCUAACAGGACCAGUGGUCGGGGAAGAUGGGAAUUGUAGUCCAAAACAUCUGGAGGGCCGAAGUUUGGGGAUGCCUGGUAUGGACACACCCAGUCUAAGAGAUGAUAGGUAAUGUUGGUCUUCUUGCCUGUUCUUUCUAGAGCGGCCAAGUUAAUGCCAUGGCAUCAGAAAACAAAGACAUGGCAGCAGCUGCUUCUGACUCCAAGAACAAUGAAGACCAGCAGAACCUGGUGAGCAGAGUGGCCUCGGUUUCCCUGAGUGCUGCUUGUGAAAUGGUCUCCACCACAUACUCUUCAAUGAAAGAGAACAUUCCGGGCUUCAAAUCUUUCUGUGAUGCGGCCGAGACGGGGAUGAGGACAAUUGCUUCGGCCGCAGUCAGUGGGGUGCAGCCUCUUUUCGGCAAGCCCCGGACAGCAGAUGUGCAGGGCAGCCGAGAUCUGGACAAAGUGGAAGAAAAGGAAUCAAUAGCUCAAGGACCAGAUGAUCAGG